rnacentral:lncRNA from 1 species
AUGGAGGGUGUGAAGGAGCAGGGAGACCAGCUCCCUCCUGAGCCCCAGCCAGCCCUCGGAAUUCAACUCCCACUCGCUGUGGGGGACAGCGAGGGGACGGGCUCCUGGGGGCUGCGUCCCCGCCUUCUUCUUGGGCCUCCUUCCUUCGCCAAGCCUGACCCUCCCUGGCGGGGCCGCUGUCCCAGCCUCCCAAGCUCCCCAGGCCCGGGAGGGGCAGGCAUGGGGGCCGGGGGCCCGCCUGCCNNNNNNNNNNNNNNNNNNNNCAGGCCGGGGAGGGGCAGUGAUGGGGGCCGUGGGCUCUCCUGCCUGUCCCCCCUUCUCUGCCCUGCCGGGUGGCCUGUCUUCCCCCAGAGACUGUUUACUGAGUGUCCAGCCAGCCUAGGCACCUUGGGGGGGCAGGAUGCGGGGACCGGCGUUGGCUCAUCGUCCCCUGCGCACACGUGCGGGUGCCGGGUGGGUGUCCGUCCUCCCCGGGGCGGGUCGUCAGCUCAGGCUGGCUGUGGGACGCACUUGGACGAUCAGAAAAUAAAGCCAUAUCGAAUGAUCAGCCUUGCGUGUCCUGUCCAGGGGGCUGGAGCUCAGGAUUUGGCUGUACCCACUCUCAAGGGGUUUCGUAGUCCUGGAGGGGCCCUUCCCACCCCCGCCGUGCCUGGCAGUCUCACCGUCCCCCCCAGUGGCCAGAUGGGGGUGCAAGCCAGCCCAUCGUCACAUGGGACUGUGGGGUGCGUGUGUUUCCUGGAGCAGAUGGACCGCAGACAGGGCGCCUUCGAGCUCCGGGUGGAUGUGCUCCCAGCGCUGGAGGCCAGAAGUCUGGGGGUCGGUGCGGGCAAGGCUGCUUCCUGCGGGGCUCUCUCGGCUUCUCGGGUUCCUGGACUUGUAGCUGUGUGGUUCCCACCUCCGUGUUCCGGAGGCGGGUUCUUUGUGUCUCCUGCCCUUUGCGGGCCCCAGGGGUGGCCUCAGGGCCCACCCGCCUGCAGCACUGAGCCCUCUGGGCUCCUCACUCCUGCACAGACCCCCCCUUCCAGAUCAGGCCACAUGCUGAGGUCGCAGCGGACGUGGAUUUGGGGGGACAUAUUCCACCCAGGAUAG